UACGGGGGGAGCAAGCGUUGUUCGGAUUUACUGGGCGUAAAGGGCGCGUAGGCGGUCAGCACAAGUCAGUUGUGAAAUCUCCGGGCUUAACUCGGAAAGGUCAACUGAUACUGUGCGACUAGAGUGCAGAAGGGGCAACUGGAAUUCUCGGUGUAGCGGUGAAAUGCGUAGAUAUCGAGAGGAACACCUGCGGCGAAGGCGGGUUGCUGGGCUGACACUGACGCUGAUGCGCGAAAGCCAGGGAGCGAACGGG
rnacentral:rRNA from 1 species